GGAAGGGCUGUGGCUCUGAGGCAGAGGAUCUGCUUUGCAUGCAAAGGGUCCCAGGUUCAAUCCCUGAUGGCACUUCCA